rnacentral:rRNA from 1 species
AGUGAACGCUGGCGGUAGGCCUAACACAUGCAAGUCGAACGGCAGCACAGUAAGAGCUUGCUCUUACGGGUGGCGAGUGGCGGACGGGUGAGGAAUACAUCGGACUCUACUUUUUCGUGGGGGAUCACGUAGGGACACUUACGCUAAUACCGCAUACGCCCUACGGGAGAAAGCAGGGGAUCUUCGGCCCUUGCGCGAUUGAAUGAGCCGAUGUCGGAUUAGCUAGUUGGCGGGGUAAAGGCCCACCAAGGCGACGAUCCGUAGCUGGUCUGAGAGGAUGAUCAGCCACACUGGAACUGAGACACGGUCCAGACUCCUACGGGAGGCAGCAGUGGGGAAUAUUGGACAAUGGGCGCAAGCCUGAUCCAGCCAUACCGCGUGGGUGAAGAAGGCCUUCGGGUUGUAAAGCCCUUUUGGUGGGAAAGAAAAGCAGCAGGUUAAUACCCCGCUGUUCUGACGGUACCCAAAGAAUAAGCACCGGCUAACUUCGUG